GUGUCCACUCCCAGGUCCAGCUGCAGCAGUCUGGGNNUGAACUGGUGAGNCCUGGGNCCUCAGUGAAGAUNUCCUGCAAGGCNUCUGGAUAUACNUUCACUGACUAUGCUAUGCAGUGGGUGAAGCAGANUCAUGGAAANAGCCUAGAGUGGAUUGGCUUUAUUAACCCUUACAAUGAUUAUACUAGCUACAACCAGAAGUUCAAGGGCAAGGCCACAAUGACUGUAGACAAAUCCUNCAGCACAGCCCACAUGGAGCUUAGCAGAUUGACAUCUGAGGACUCUGCAGUCUAUUACUGUGCAAGACAUAGUGGUUCAACUACAUCCUGA